rnacentral:misc_RNA from 1 species
GAUGAAGAACGUAGCGAAAUGCGAUAAGUAGUGUGAAUUGCAGAAUUCCGAAUCAUCGAAUCUUUGAACGCACAUUGCGCCUUCUGGUAUUCCGGAAGGCAUGCCUGUUCGAGAGUCAUUAACAACCGUUUCGAUCCCUUUCUUUCAGAAAUUACAAAGAGGAAAAGGGUUUGGUUAUGGUGGAGGAGGGAAAGGGAGCGUUUAGCCUGUAAAAAAAGAGGCUGUGUUCCGCCUCCCCCCCAAAAUUGUACAGGCGGUCGUGUGCGCCCACGCAUCGAGGUGUUGUAAAAGCUGCCACGGCACUUUUCACCUGUGCAGUGCGAGAUUGGCCAGCCGGUUUAAAAACCCCUCCAAACAAUCAAAGGUUGACCUCGGAUCAGGUAGGGAUACCCGCUGAACUUAAGCAUAUCAAUAAGCGGAGGA